rnacentral:rRNA from 1 species
UACGUAGGGUGCGAGCGUUUGUCCGGAAUUAUUGGGCGUAAAGAGCUCGUAGGCGGUUUGUUGCGUCGGCCGUGAAAACUGGAGGCUUAACCUUCAGCUUGCGGUCGAUACGGGCAGACUUGAGUUCGGUAGGGGAGACUGGAAUUCCUGGUGUAGCGGUGAAAUGCGCAGAUAUCAGGAGGAACACCGGUGGCGAAGGCGGGUCUCUAGUACGGUACUGACGCUGAGACGCGAAAGCGUGGGGAGCGAACAGG